UACAUACUUCCUCCAUCCUAAAAUUUUUGUCUUAAAUUUGUCUAAAUACAAAUGUAUCUAAUACUAAAAUUUAAACAAAUUUAGAUAAAAUGUGACUUGAUACAUCCGUAUUUAGACAAAUCUAAGACAAGAAUUUUGGGACGGAGGGAGUAGUAA
rfam:Triticum aestivum genome assembly, contig: Triticum_aestivum_CS42_TGACv1_scaffold_061148_1DL